UGGAGGCAGCAGUGGGGAAUCUUGCACAAUGGGCGAAAGCCUGAUGCAGCGACGCCGCGUGGAGGAUGAAGGCCUUCGGGUUGUAAACUCCUUUUCUUGGGAAAGAUGAUGACGGUACCCAAGGAAUAAGCCACGGCUAACUCUGUGCCAGCAGCCGCGGUAAGACAGAGGUGGCAAGCGUUGUUCGGAAUUACUGGGCUUAAAGGGCGAGUAGGCGGUGGAGCAAGUCUGAUGUGGAAUCCUAUGGCUUAACCAUAGAACUGCCUUAGAAACUGCUUUACUUGAGUCAGUGAGGGGAGGGCGGAAUUCCUGGUGUAGCGGUGAAAUGCGUAGAUAUCAGGAGGAAGGCCUGUGGCGAAAGCGGCCCUCUGGCACUGUACUGACGCUGAGGCGCGAAAGCGUGGGGAGCAAACAGGAUUAGAUACCCCGGUAGC
rnacentral:rRNA from 1 species